GACGAACGCUGGCGGCGCGCUUAACACAUGCAAGUCGAACGGAAAGGCCUGCUUUCCCUUGUGGAUUGCGGGUACUCGAGUGGCGAACGGGUGAGUAACACGUGAGUGAUCUGCCCCCAACUUGGGUAUAAGCCUGGGAAACUGGGUCUAAUUCCCGAUAGGACUGCAGGGUGGUGCCUGUGGUGGAAAACGAUUUUCUAGUGGUUGUGGAUGAGCUCGCGGCCUAUCAGCUUGUUGGUGGGGUAAUGGCCUACCAAGGCGGCGACGGGUAGCCGGCCUGAGAGGGUGGACGGCCACAUUGGGACUGAGAUACGGCCCAGACUCCUACGGGAGGCAGCAGUGGGGAAUAUUGCACAAUGGGCGGAAGCCUGAUGCAGCGACGCCGAGUGGGGGAUGACGGCCUUCGGGUUGUAAACUCCUUUCGACCGCGAGGAAGCCACCUGGUUGGAAGGGUGGUGACGGUAGUGGUAGAAGAAGCACCGGCUAACUACGU
rnacentral:rRNA from 1 species